UUGUUUAUUUCUUAUUGUUAUCAGUUAUUUAUUUUAUCAACUAGGGUUGUUGAUAUAAGACAUAGUUAAUAGCUGCAGUUAUUAAAGUCAGUUCUUUAUUUACAUGCAUUUGUUGUAGUAGCAGUUAACUCUAACUACUACUACUACUAUGACAAGAGUAAUACUAAAAAUUACAAUUAUGUUAUUUUUAAUUUUAAUGAGAUAUUUAAUCAAUUUGUUAUAGAAUAUUGUGAAAGUUUAGACUUAGUUCUCACAUGUAGAUGCCAUGACUAUUUUAACAUUUUUAACAUUCAUGUUAAUGAAUGUUAAAACAGUUUGAAUGAUUCAAAGAUUCAAAUCCUUCUGGCACACACUUAGAUUUCAUUUUUUGACAUAUAUUGAUCAAUGCAGUUGUUAAGUACUUUUGUGGCACAAAAGUAGGAUUGUAAUUCCAUGUGCAAAAAUCAAAUUUUUUUAACAACAUUAAACAACACUGACAAGAACUGCUGCAUCACGACAGCAACUGCAGUAUCACAACAGGUUACCAAAAGCAGGUUUGUCAUAUAACGCAUUGAUGCAAUAUGAAAGAUCAAAGUUUACAUAUUUUUCCUUAUUUGUGAU
rnacentral:lncRNA from 1 species